GUAGUUCUUCAGGCGCGGGAGAAGCGGCCAUCGCCUAGCGGGGGACUCGGUUUCCCAAAGGGCUGAGCGUGGCUCAAGAUGGAGGCAGCCAGGCCGAAGUGAGCCGCCGGUCACCGAGCCGCUGAGCAGAGCCGUGCGCGGGGGCCUUUGCCACCAAGAACCUUCGUCAGCAUUCAAUCCACCUGCCCUCCAGCGUCCAGCAGGCGCCCAUCAGACGGGGAGGU
rnacentral:lncRNA from 1 species